rnacentral:tRNA from 1 species
ACACCCGUAGCUCAGUUGGUUAGAGCACUACCUUGACAUGGUAGGGGUCGGUGGUUCGAAUCCACUCGGGUGUACCA